UACGUAGGGUGCGAGCGUUGUCCGGAAUUAUUGGGCGUAAAGAGCUUGUAGGCGGUUUGUCGCGUCUGCUGUGAAAAUCCGGGGCUCAACCCCGGACUUGCAGUGGGUACGGGCAGACUAGAGUGUGGUAGGGGAGACUGGAAUUCCUGGUGUAGCGGUGAAAUGCGCAGAUAUCAGGAGGAACACCGAUGGCGAAGGCAGCUCGCUGGGACGUUACUGACGCUGAGACGCGAAAGCGUGGGGAGCAAACAGG
rnacentral:rRNA from 1 species